AUUGAACGCUGGCGGCAGGCCUAACACAUGCAAGUCGAACGAGUGGCGGACGGGUGAGUAAUGUCUGGGAAACUGCCUGAUGGAGGGGGAUAACUACUGGAAACGGUAGCUAAUUCCGCAUACCAUCAGAUGUGCCCAGAUGGGAUUCGCUUGUUGGGGGGGUAACGGCUCACCAAGGCGAAGAUCCCUAGCUGGUCUGAGAGGAUGACCAGCCACCCUGGAACGGAGACACGGUCCAGACUCCUACGGGAGGCAGAAGUGGGGAAUAUUGCACAAUGGGCGAAAGCCUGAUGCAGCCAUGCCGCGUGUGUGAAGAAGGCCUUCGGAUUGUAAAGUACUUUCAGCGGGGAGGCGUUACCCACAGAAGAAGCACCGGCUAACUCCGUGCCAGCAGCCGCGGUAAUUC
rnacentral:rRNA from 1 species